UCACCCUACGGGACGCAGCAGUGGGGGAUAUUGGACAAUGGGGGAAACCCUGAUCCAGCGAUGAAGCGUGAGGGAAGAAGGUUUUCGGAUUGUAAACCUCUGUGGAGGGGGACGAUAAUGACGGUACCCCUUUAGGAAGCCACGGCUAACUACGUGCCAGCAGCCGCGGUAAUACGUAGGUGGCGAGCGUUGUCCGGAAUUACUGGGUGUAAAGGGAGUGUAGGCGGGAAAGCAAGUCAGAAGUGAAAACUAUGGGCUUAACCCAUAGCCUGCUUUUGGGACUGUUUUUCUUGAGUGAAGUAGAG
rnacentral:rRNA from 1 species